ensembl:lncRNA
GUGGGACUGUUCGCCAGGCCUCGCCCAGCCUCGCAGGCUGCCAGGACAAAGUCACACCCCAGCUCUGCUGAGAGCAAUUGGCUCAGUCCACAGCACGAGGACCAUGCCCGUGACGCGGGGUUAUUGGGACAUCCGCGGGAUCUGGCACCAUGUGAAUUCUGGCUCUUCUUCAAAUGCAAAAUGAAAAUGAUAAGUAAACAUUUUGAAUCUGUUAAGAACAUGAAGGCAGCCAAGACAGCAGAACAAAAGACAUGAAAAAGAACUUCUAGAACUGCUUCAGAAAGUGACAAGAAUCAUAGAAUAAGUGUG